rnacentral:tRNA from 1 species
GGCGGAGUAGCUCAGCCUGAUAGAGCAGACGGCUCAUACCCGUUAGGUCGUCGGUUUAAAUCCGACCUCCGCCACCA